CAAUAGCGUAUAUUAAAGUUGUUGCGGUUAAAAAGCUCGUAGUUGGAUUUCUGCUGAGAACGACCGGUCCGCCCUUUGGGUGUGUAUCUGGCUCUUUCUUGGCAUCUUCUUGGUGAACGUUGCUACACUUGACUGUGUGGAGCGCUACCCAGGACUUUUACUUUGAGGAAAUUAGAGUGUUUCAAGCAGGCAUACGCCUUGAAUACAUUAGCAUGGAAUAAUAAGAUAGGACCUCGGUUCUAUUUUGUUGGUUUCUAGAGCUGAGGUAAUGAUUAAUAGGGAUAGUUGGGGGCAUUCGUAUUUAACUGUCAGAGGUGAAAUUCUUGGAUUUGUUAAAGACGGACUACUGCGAANGNAUUUGCNAAGGAUGUUUNCAUUG
rnacentral:rRNA from 1 species